rnacentral:lncRNA from 1 species
GCACUGUUCCAAGAAUGAGGAUUUCAGUAUUAGGAAUUCAGGAGCAGUUUGGUUUGACAGUUCUGAUUCUAGGAUUUUCAUGAGGUUGGCGUCAGAUCUCAGCUGGAGCUGCAGGCAUCUGAUGGUUUGAAGUUGGAGGAUCCAUCCCCAAGGUACCUCACCAAAAGAUUGUCAAGUUAGUAUUACAAGUUGUUUCCUCUUCAUGUGGCACCCCUCUCAGGCUUAAUUGAGUAUCUUCACAACAUGUCAACUGGCCUCUCUCAUAGCAAUUAAUCCAAGAUACCAAGGCAGAAACUGAAAUAUUUCUGUGAUUUUGUCGACCUGGGAAGUAACAUACCCUCAGUGCUACCAUAAUCUAUCGUUAUAUUAGUCAGGGUUCUCCAGGAAGACAAAACCAAUAGAAGAUAGAUGAUAGAUGGAUAGAUAGAAAUAAAGAUGGAUAGAUAGAAAUAAAGAUAGAUAGAUCAUGAUGAUGAUGAUGAAGAUAGAUAAGUAAAUAGACAGAUGGAUGGAUGGAUGAAAGGGAAUUCACUGGGGGAAUUGGCUUAUGCAAUUAUGGAGGCUGAAACAUCCCAUAAUGGGCUACCUGCAAGCUGGAGAACUAGGGAAGCUGAUAGCAUGACUCAGUUCAAUCAAGAAGAUUUUAGGAAGCCAGUGGUAUUACUCUCAGUCAGUAGAUGAAGGCCUGAGA